rnacentral:lncRNA from 1 species
CCUGAACCCAAGAUGACUGGUGUCUUUACAGGAAGAGGAGAGACAGACGCAGAGAGGAGACUCCCAUGUGGUAAAGGAGACACAGGGAAUUUGUAUUGGCAGAGGCAGAGAUUGGAAGGAAGCACCGGGGGAGCCAAAGGAAACUAGGAGAGAAGGAAGGAAGGAUUGUCUCCCGAUGCUCCCAGGAAGCCCAGCCCAGACAUCUGCAGUGUAGACACAGACUCCACAACGUGACAGAAUGUGUUUCUAUUGCUGCCAGCUACCCCGUUUGUGACCAUUUGUUACGGCAGCCCCAGGAAAUGAGUGUGGUCUAUUUUUACCUGUAUCUCCAGUCUUCGUCUGGGUUCAUGCCUGAUUGCACCCUAGCUUAUAUGUGAUUGUUCAUCUCUGGGGAUUGCCCACCUCUGCCCCCCGAAAAAGAACUAGGCCAUCAAAUGUGAGUUCUCUGACAGAAUUCUCCCCCAUUAUCUGUGAUUUUGGCUGCCUGUGCUCAAUAGCGUCCUGGAAGCCGAUGCUCCUGCUUAUGUAUUGCAAAGGGAACGAGGCCGACCAAGAAUCACGGUGCUGUUCAUUUCAGACAUGGGAGCAGAAGACAAGAUUUCAGACUCAUACACACUGCGACCCCAUGCCCGACUUCAAAAAAACAGUGAUUCAUCCAGACACCAAAGCUCAGCAGCUCAGAGUCAACCUCAAAUAUAGUCAAAGCUCACCAAGUGCUCCCCCAAGAAAAAUAGAACCUAAGUGCCUGACGACCUUUACCGCAGGCAUAUUUUUAGGGACGUGCCUAUCCCGUAUACUUCUUGCUCCCUCACGUAGAAGGAAAUCUCUAGAAUAACACCUCCAACUGAGCCUCUCUUCCUCCAACUCUCUUGCUCCCCAGGUAAGAAAGAGGGUCUGCACCUGUUGGGCAUCACAGAGGACCAACGUCUCCUCUCUUAUCCUCUCUUCUCCCCUCCUCUCUAUUUCGACUAUUCUACUAUUUUAAAAAUAAUAGAUGCAAUCAUUUCAUUUGAAUUAUUUAAUUCCUAGCGAUUUAAAAUCAGACACUUGAACGACCCGACUAACUUUUCCUAAUGAAGCUAGCAAUUUUUUAAAUGUGUUAUGUGACACGCCCUGCACGUUUUCGUUUUAAGUGAGAACUCUGUAUAAUGAACGGUAGAGACAAACUUCCUAAGUCUGUCGCCACUAGAAUUAUCUAGGCUUGUUUCUGAUAAAAUCACUUUUCACAAAUUGUAGAGAAUGCCGACUGCCGUAAUGUGUCAUGUCCAUGGAUUCUCGUAUCUGCAGAUGGCCAGAGCCCACUAGGCAGCUGCCACCUGCUUUCCCCCUUAUUAACUUGGGUAGAGACCCUCCGCCCUUGCCCACCCACCACUCUGCUGCAUUCCAUAUGACACUAAAGACUUCCUUUUGAGGCCAAACCAGAAUCUGGCAUCGUGACCUUCACCAGAAAGCUAACUCCUGCGGAAAACUGCACUAGACGGUAGAAAUCGUAAAGUACUCUUGUCACAUGCAAUGUAAAUCCCCAAAUCAACAAAUAGGUAGUUGUCAAAACGUGUCACUUCUCCACGGUGGCGUGCUGACAACUCGUGAGAUAUUUUAGGUGCAUUUUGACAACAAGGCAUAAUUAACUGUGGCUGCAUUUUGGAAGGAUUUUUUAAUUUUAAUUUUUUUUUUUUUUCUGAGAAUAUCAACUGGCCCAGAUUCCCCAGGUAGGGAGGGACGUCAUCAACAAAGGCUGUUACUCUGCCGAAGAACUGGCCUUGAGGCUCUCCCUAGGAGUUGCAAAGCAAUGAGAUUUCCUUCCCACGGAGUGGCAACACACACGUGAAUGUGCA